CAUAUCAUUCUAAAUUGUGGCGUGAACAAAUCGAAGCAUUUUGUGUUCCAAGAAAAAAGUUUUUUUUAAGAAAAAACACUUUGGUAAGACUAUAAUAGCCACUAAGUUAUACUCAGAAUCUGAAAUAACAAAACCCAACGUUAAAUUAAAGGCACUAAAAAUAUAUGGACGGUCUAAAAAGCCAAAUACCUAAAAGAAAUCCGUACUUAAGGCGGUUGUAGUCGUCGAAAAAUAGGUAGUAUUUAGACUGGAAAUAUAGACAAAACUGUAGGGUUUGUAUUUGAUGGAUUUUAAUUUUGAUAGUGGAUUGUGAAUGAUGAAUACUAUGUUGUGACUAUACGAAAAAUGAUCUAUACUUGCUCGUAACAAAUAAAACACAAUCGAUCUAGCUUAUUAGAUUCCGAGCCAUCGGUUUUACAAUGCUGUUUUUUUCUUUCUU